GCCCCGCUUCAUGUUUAUUGGCACGCCCUGUCAGUGGGUUGGCAGAACAGCUGUGGCAGUAGUGCCUCCUUGAGUUACUGUAGCACCAGUAUUACUGUUAAGUUAACCACGCUAACCAGUGCUAACAUUCUGCAAGCUACACAGAUAGAGCAAGAGAGGCAGGACAAAGCACCACUAAAGGUGUGCAUUCCUUAACUUCGUGUUCAACUUCCUUGCACUGGCUUCCAGGGUUGACGACAAUUGACUGAUGGCUUUCGAGCUGGAGGUGUGUGUGGACUCGGUGACGUCGGCGCUGACAGCUGCUGAGUCAGGGGCCACACGGCUGGAGCUAUGUUCUGGUUUGGCUGUCGGAGGACUGACCCCCAGCUUUGGCUUGUUCCAAGCAAUCCGGCAGCGAGUUCCCCUGCCGAUCAUGGUGCUGGUGCGGCCGAGGGCUGGCGACUUCUGCUACACGGCCGAGGAGGUCGAGGCCAUGGUGACCGACAUCACCCUGUUUCGGCAAAACGGCGCACACGGCUUUGUCAUAGGAGCACUCACCAGGGAAGGUGAUGUCGACAUGCCCACCUGCCAGCGGCUGCUUGCUGCUGCUGGUCCACAAGCGGACACCACCUUUCACAGAGCAUUUGACGUGGCCAGGAAUCCACAGACAGCCUUGGAGCAGGUGAUCGAGCUUGGCUUUCGGCGUCUGCUAACCAGUGGCCAAGCUGCCAGCGUGGAUCAUGGCCUGGAGCUGCUCGCCAGACUUGCCAACCAGGCCAAGGGCAGAAUACAGCUGAUGCCAGGCGGAGGUGUCAGGGAGUCCAACCUGGCCCACCUGCUGCACGCUACAGGAGUUCGGGCUGUACACGCAUCCGCAAGCGAGCCUGUACCCACUGCUGCGGCGUCUGCGCUGUCAUUUGGCGAGCUGCGGGUUUGCAGUGCCGCUCGCGUGCGCUCCCUUCUGGCCAUUGUCUAUGCACAAGGCCACCUGUAGACGAGCCACGCAGAGUCAUCACGGCGACCAAAGAGUGUGUCUUUCAAGGCUCGUGCAGUGGCCUUUGGUAACGCAUGUGUGAUGCUUUGGGGCACACGUAACCAUUGUCGGAGUUCUCUGUGGAACUGUGAUCACUGAGCCAGCAUGGGAUUGUGAGCAGCGUGUAUGGAUUUCUCUUGGACUGAGGGAACUGUUGAUUGAGAUUGUGUGGUGAAACGCCA
rnacentral:misc_RNA from 1 species